UCCCCUUUCUUUCUGUGUUUUAUUUUUUUCUAUGCACCUACAUGAGGGAUGUAGGUGCCUACAUCCUUAUGUAGAUGUCUCUAUUCCCUUUCUUUCUGUAUUUUAUUUCUUUCUGUAUUUUAUUUACUAAUGUAGUCUCCUUUCUUUCUGUGUUUUAUUUUUUUCUGUGUUUUAUUUACUGAUGUAGUGAUAUAGUCCC
rnacentral:lncRNA from 1 species